UAAAAUUAGGGUUUCUGAAAUUUUGCAUCCAUAAUUAUCUAAUAGAGAUGUUAUUAAAUGUAUGUGAUGUGGUGUAUAUAGAUUUACUUUUGAGUAUGUGCUGUGGGUAGGACAACAUUUUUUCUCUCGUUUAUUUUCUAGGUUAGUUCUGUUUCACAGUAAUUGUUUUUUAUGUUCAUUGUUCGAUAAGAAAAGGCAUCCUGGGAUUUUUUUAAGUCUAGAUAUCAAGCAAUCUGUAGUUGGUGUUGUGUUGGCGUGUUGUAAUGCUAUUAUUAGGGUAGCUAAUAGGUUGGUUACUGUUUCUUGCAUAGUUAUUAAAGGUUCAAGGCCCCUAGGGUCAUGGGGCCUAGGUCCAAGGGGUCCUAGGGCCUAGGUGCAAGGCGCAUGAAAAAAAAAUCCAUAAAAGUCAAAUA
rnacentral:misc_RNA from 1 species